GACGAACGCUGGCGGCGUGCCUAAUACAUGCAAGUCGAACGCAGUGGGGACGGGUGAGUAACACGUGGGUAACCUUCCAUCAGAGGGGAUAACACUUGGAAACAGGUGCUAAACCGAUACUGAUGGAUGGACCCGCGGUACAUUUGCCAGUUGGGAAGGUAAAGGCUCACCAAGGCCACGAUGCAUAGCCGACCGGGGAGGGUGAUCGCCCACACGGGAACUGAGACCCGGCCCAGACUCCUACGGGAGGCAGCAGUAGGGAAUCUUCGGGAAUGAACGAAAGUCUGACCGGGCAACGCCGCGUGGGUGAAGAAGGUUUUCGGAUCGUAAAGCUCUGUUGUUAGAGAAGCGGUAUCUAACCAGGAAGCCACGGCUAACUACGUGCCAGCAGCCGCGGUAAUUC
rnacentral:rRNA from 1 species